rnacentral:rRNA from 1 species
UGGGGAAUAUUGCACAAUGGGCGCAAGCCUGAUGCAGCCAUGCCGCGUGUAUGAAGAAGGCCUUCGGGUUGUAAAGUACUUUCCGCGAGGAGGAAGGCGUUGUGGUUAAUAACCGCAGCGAUUGACGUUACUCGCAGAAGAAGCACCGGCUAACUCCGUGCCAGCAGCCGCGGUAAUACGGAGGGUGCAAGCGUUAAUCGGAAUUACUGGGCGUAAAGCGCACGCAGGCGGUCUGUCAAGUCGGAUGUGAAAUCCCCGGGCUCAACCUGGGAACUGCAUCCGAAACUGGCAGGCUAGAGUCUUGUAGAGGGGGGUAGAAUUCCAGGUGUAGCGGUGAAAUGCGUAGAGAUCUGGAGGAAUACCGGUGGCGAAGGCGGCCCCCUGGACAAAGACUGACGCUCAGGUGCGAAAGCGUGGGGAGCAAACA